UGGUGUAACUGGUAGCACGUCCGACUGGCAGUCGGAAAAUCCGUAGUUCGAAUCCUCG
rnacentral:tRNA from 1 species